GGGCUAUUUACUUAUUCGGUGUUGUUUAGUUUAGCUUCCUCAUUGUGGGGUCCUAUGAUUUUUCCGUACUUUUAAUUGUUAAAAAUGCUGAGCUGCUUAUCAAGAAAGGCAGCAUCCUGGGCAAAGAUUUGAACCUUAGACCUAGGCUGGCAUUUCAUUCUUGUUAAAAUUCUUAGUAAUUUUGGUAGCCUUUUGUAGGUUUCUGAAAGAAUAUGGUGCAACUUGGAUUAAUUUGAUUAUGGAAUUAGUGUUAGACUUACCGAUUUUCCUCCUUUCAUUUGCUACUUGUUUUUAUUCAAUAAUAAAAAAGUGGACUAUUACUAUAGUUAUGUUUUUUCAGUUCUUUUUUCCUCUCAUUAUUCCUUGCACUUAGAAUUUGUUUUAUUCUGUGCAGGGAAUUGUUCGCAAGAUCAAUUUU
rnacentral:misc_RNA from 1 species